rnacentral:rRNA from 1 species
GAGUAACGCGUAGGUAACCUGCCUGGUAGUGGGGGAUAACUAUUGGAAACGAUAGCUAAUACCGCAUAAUAGCAGUUGUUGCAUGACAACUGUUUGAAAGGUGCAAUUGCACCACUACCAGAUGGACCUGCGUUGUAUUAGCUAGUUGGUGGGGUAACGGCUCACCAAGGCGACGAUACAUAGCCGACCUGAGAGGAUGGCCAGCCACACUGGAACUGAGACACGGUCCAGACUCC